CAAAGUCCCCAUAUCUCAAUGAAAGAUCGUCAAGGUCACACUGAAGAAGACCAUGUGGGAUGGGAGAGAGACAUAGUGGUCACAUUUGAGAAAGGCCAUCUGACAGAUGGGAGAAGCUGAAAGGGCUGCACAGAAGCCUCCCCUGCACCUGCAAAUAGACCAGUGCAGGCAUUGAACAUCUGGGGCAAGACUAGCGUCUCCCAGCAGCCCCAGGCUUUAAAUCUGAUUCUCCUCCUUCAAUUACUGCUUAUCUUCAGAAAAGCCAUGCACCUCACGAACGUCACCUGUCAG
rnacentral:lncRNA from 1 species